rnacentral:rRNA from 1 species
CUUGACUGUAUCUUGGAAUUGGGUUCGGGCCUUUCUUGCGCAGACUAGGUGGGAGGCUAUGAAGGUUUUCUUCCGGGAAAGUUGGAGCCAACAGUGAGAGACCACUCUGGAAAGGCUAGAAUCCUAAUGGUGAUCAUUGAAUCAGGACACUUGACAGUUUCAGGUGGGCAGUUUGUUUGGGGCGAACGCCUCAUAAAAGGUAACUGAGGCGCGCAAAGGUCCCCUCAGUCUGGACGGAAAUCAGACAUUGAGUGUAAAGGCAAAAGGGGGCUUGACUGCAAGACCCACAAGUCGAGCAGGAGCGAAAGCUGGCCUUAGUGAUCCGACGGUGCCGUGUGGAAGGGCCGUCGCUCAACGAAUAAAAGUUA